rnacentral:rRNA from 1 species
AUUGAACGCUGGCGGCAUGCCUUACACAUGCAAGUCGAACGGCAGCACGGGAGCUUGCUCCUGGUGGCGAGUGGCGAACGGGUGAGUAAUGCAUCGGAACGUGCUCUGAAGUGGGGGAUAACGUAGCGAAAGUUACGCUAAUACCGCAUAUUCUGUGAGCAGGAAAGCAGGGGAUCUUCGGACCUUGCGCUUUUGGAGCGGCCGAUGUCGGAUUAGCUAGUUGGUGGGUAAAGGCCCACCAAGGCGACGAUCCGUAGCGGGUCUGAGAGGAUGAUCCGCCACACUGGAACUGAGACACGGUCCAGACUCCUACGGGAGGCAGCAGUGGGGAAUUUUGGACAAUGGGCGCAAGCCUGAUCCAGCCAUGCCGCGUGAGUGAAGAAGGCCUC